UGAACCUCUUCUUGCGUUAUGAGUUCCUAGUACUAGAUUUCGGCGUUUUCCUGAAUUUCGAUUUACUCAAAAGGCCACGUGGUGUUUAUUGUUUACCUUUUGACGGACUUCCUCCUUAAAAUAUUUACAAAAGUAAUGUGAAUUACAUGAUAGAGGUUCCACAUUAAUGGCCCCAACACGUCAAAUAACUACUAGCUAAUCGGUUUAAACUUGGCCAGUGAUGCGAUGAUUAAAACGUAUUUUAUUUGCUCAGUCCCCAUUGCUUUUUUUCUAGAUCAUCAGAAACAAAGGACGAGUAGGAAACGAUAAGUUUGUCAUAAAAACAUGAUUUGCUUAGCUUCGUACCAUUUCCUUCACAAGCAUCAAGUCUUUUAACAUUCUUGUUCUCUUAGUGACUGAAUGCAGGCUUAUCGAUUGGAACUCGACGCCCUUAAGUCGUUUACAAUAAUCAAUAUCGUUGCAUGUCUAUACAGCAGAAAGUGAAAGGAAUUCAAAAGCUUGUUACCUCUUCAUAUCCUCUUCUGCCCUUGUACUUGCUUAUCUGUUGCGUAAUAUAUGUUCGUUUCUGCGGUUACUACUUUGAAAAUGACAGAUAAAUGAAUAUCCAGGAUAGGAUAUCAGAAUGCAAGACAGUAAAUUAUAAAAACUAAAUAUAUUGUUCGAUCUUAAGUAUAAAUAAUUUUAUAUAGAAAGGAAUGCAUUUCAUGUAUGUAAAAAACGUCACUAAACCUAAUAGAAGAAAACAAAAUUUUGAAUGUAGGUACUUCAGCUACUUUAGUUUUUUUUAAUAACUAGCCAUAAAUCAGAAAUCGUUACGUCUGUAACGAUAAUAUACCACUUUAUGAAGGCUGGAGGGUGAAUCGGGCGUAAGAACUAGAUUUAGGUCGACGCAGUCACUCACAAAACCGGCUUUAUUUGAUUCAUAAAUAACUGUGUUGAUACAUCCGUGUCACUCUCGGAACUGGCCCAUACCAGUGAAUCAUAAUAUCACGGUUCAAGUUCAUGUUAUAAUUUUUAUUUUUUAUGUCAUUAAUCAUAAGAAUUUCCGAAAACCUUUCACGGAUACCUUGAACUUGAUAAAAUAUAGUUAACUCCUUGCACUUCUCGGUCCCUAGUAUUAAACUUGAGGACUGCUUCGGGAUCCGACGCCCGUUCAUAUGCAGCCAGCUUGACGCAUAGUCAGAGAGCGCUUCAUAUGGAAAGUUUAUCUCGAAUCGGUCCCUACGAUUAGCUGUUUGUUCAAAAGAAUUUAUUGUGUUACAGUUAGAAAGUGUAGAGGAGUAUAGAUUAAUGUAUAGAAUUUGUGAAUUGAUAAUUUAGUCACGCCCCGCGUCGGGCGCCAAAAUAACUAAAAUUCGGCUGAACAGAAGUACGUCCAUUAUGUUUGAAGUUUCUGUCACUCCCAUUUAAAAACAAAUGAACAAUGGCGCAAAUUGAAAGAAUAAAAAAAUAUACGCCUUUUCAAUACUUACUUCGUAAAACAUAUAAUUAUAAAUUCGUUUAAAUGAGAAUGUUCACUGAAAUCUUGAAUCAUAAUUAAUGAUGCCCUAGUCACUAGCUACUAUUAAAAGCAACUAUUUCAGGCUUCCGGACGGCUUGCUAGCUGUGUAGGUUAACGAUGUAUGUGUGAGAUGCACUCCUCUCUCAAUGUCACUUUAUCUCUUCAUGCCUAUGCACUCCUUGUUUCAAAGCAUUUUGUGGGGUGGGGGUGUGGUAUCGAUGUUUUUGCAGGCAAGCUAACAAAACCAGUAAAAACUAGUAAUCAUGACCUUGUAGCCAAUGUCCUGCACGCUUCUGCAAAAUAUAGUUUAAAUACGAAUAUUUAUUCAACUUUUAUUUUGAGAACUUACGGGUAACUAAAUAUAAAAAACACAACCAUUUAAUUAAACAUCAAAUCAAAAUAAUAACCAUUACCUACUUAAGUAUUCUUCAUUUAACUUCUUUCAAAUACGAGAGACAGUUUAUGUUAAAGACAAUUUAUGCUAGAUAAAAAGUUAUAUUGAAACUCAUUAUAAUAGUCAGUGUCAGCAACCUCUUCUUGCGUUAUGGACUCCUAGUACUAGAUUUCGGCGUUUUUCUGAAUUUCGAUCUACUCAAAAGGCCCACGUGGUCACGUUACUUGUUUAUUGACCUUUUGACGGACUUCCUCUAAAACACAUUUACAAAAGUAAUGUAAAUUUCAUAAUGGUGGUUAUGUUUAUGCCCCCAACACCCCGAACAACAACUAGCUAAUCGGGAGAAACUUGCCCUGGCCUACCGAAAAAUUAAAUUAAUAGAACAGCUUCAUCGACUUCAGCGUAAUCAUUAAACAUUAGCUAAUUAGUGAUACUUGUAUUUGGUUUGAAGAUGGAUUACGAUGAAAAAAAAGAACGUGUGGCCCUCGGAGACUGCCGCGGCAAAGCUAUUGCAUAACAUUUUUUAUCAACUUAUGCAAUAAAAUUAUGUAUUUAAUUUAUUUACGCAGUAUUUUUUUUUUUAUAUACGAAAACUCACAUUUUCUCAACGCAAUUCGUGGUGUAUUGCAUCUUAUGAGAUGAAAUGAAUAAAACGUUUUGGAAUUAAUUUGAUGACAUUUCAACUUUUCAGUUUGAACCCGCGUUAUAAAGAAGAACAACGGCAAUACGAAAACAACAUUUGACCGCUGUUUUGGCACAAGUUUCGGACUGCACCAUAAGGGCUCGAACAGCCAGCUACGCCUUAUCAUGUUCUACUGCAUAAACAAUAUUUCUGGUGGGCAGAGCACAACAGUAACAGUCACUUGCAGAUAUGGGAUGACAAACUCUUGAAACCUGUGUAUUUAACACCAAGAUGCAACUUACAAACUAAAGAUAGAAUCAACUACGAUGGAAGAUGGUGAUGAGUACAGUUCUACCAAGUUAUCUUCAACCAGAAUAAAGAGCAGCCUUGUUUUGUGUUCUCAAAGAUAUGAAGACAAGACUGAAGUUGGAAGACGAGGUACAAGGCAUCAGAUUUUCAACGGAAAAGCGCGAUGGGAAACAGAUGCUGAACGGUGGUAUAACUAGUUUAUGAGUAUUAACAACAUGACAGUUGUUAGUACCAACUGUUGCUCUGUACAAGGUAUCAACAAGAAAGGAAUUAUUAUGAAAGUAUGGGUGAAGUUGCAACAAUAAGUGAGACUAUUAAGUGAACAUCAAGAUUGGUAAACGCCUUGUCUAACUUUAUUGCUAGUCAAAUUAGCGAAGUUUCUUAAGCGACGACCAAAGUUGUUACUGAUUUUAGGAAAGGUCUCCAUCCAUGUCCCUUUUAUGUCUAUUGUCUCUACUACUAUUUUUGUUACAGUUCUGAUAUGUUUUCUUUGGUGUCAAA